rnacentral:tRNA from 1 species
UAGACGGUUACUCUCUGGUAUAAGUGUUUAGCUGUUAACUAAAAGUUUGUAGGAUCGAAGCCUAUCCGUCUAG